rnacentral:SRP_RNA from 2 species
GCUGGGUGUGGUGGUGGGCACCUGUAAUCCCAGCUACUUGGGAGGCUGAGGCAGGAGAAUCGCUUGAACCCAGGAGGCGGAGGCUGUGGUGAGCUGAGAUCAUGCCACUGCAUUCCAGCCUGGGUGACAGAGUGAGACUCUGUCUCAA